AGUGAACGCUGGCGGUAGGCCUAACACAUGCAAGUCGAACGGCAGCACAGUAAGAUCUUGCUCUUACGGGUGGCGAGUGGCGGACGGGUGACGAAUACAUCGGAAUCUACUUUUUCGUGGGGGAUAACGUAGGGAAACUUACGCUAAUACCGCAUAUGAUGUACGGGUGAAAGCAGUGGAUCUUCGGACCUUGCGCGAUUGAAUUAGCCGAUGUCGGAUUAGCUAGUUGGCGGGGUAAAGGCCCACCAAGGCGACGAUCCGUAGCUGGUCUGAGAGGAUGAUCGGCCACACUGGAACUGAGACACGGUCCAGACUCCUACGGGAGGCAGCAGUGGGGAAUAUUGGACAAUGGGCGCAAGCCUGAUCCAGCCAUACCGCGUGGGUGAAGAAGGCCUUCGGGUUGUAAAGCCCUUUUGUUGGGAAAGAAAAGCAGCAGGUUAAUACCCCGCUGUUCUGACGGUACCCAAUGAAUAAGCACCGGCUAACUUCGUG
rnacentral:rRNA from 1 species